CCAUCGAUUUUUAUUCAACCCUCCAAAAACCAAUCGGUUUAAUUAAAAAAAUCUCUUUCUCCCCUCCUGCCAACCCACGGAGAAAAGAAAUCGCAAGGGAAAAACCAGGUUCGAGGUUAGCGCAAAAAACAAAACAGGCAUGUUCUCCACCUCAUCCCAGAAAGACGAACCGCCCGCAUCCCCUCCCCCACGACCACCCACCGAACGCCUCCCUGUCCAUCGGAUGCCGCUCUCGCCGACGACCACCCGACGCCUUCCCCUAACACCUCCUUCCCCACCUGACAACUCCCUCUCCCGCGACCACCUUGCGCAUCCCUCUCCAGAGGACGACCCUCUCUCCGGCGGAUGGCCCCCUCUCUAGAGGACGACCCUCUCUCUGGCGGAUGGCCCCCCUCUCCGGUGGACGCCCCCUCUCCUACAGCCACGGCCACCCUGCACCUCCCUCUCCAACGGAUGGCCUCCUCACGGGCUCCUCCCUCUAACCCCAUCAAUUUUGUGCCUCCCAUCCGUGGAUCUUUCGUCAUUCCCGCGAGCGGCCAUGGUCGGGAUGGCUUGACCAUAGACCAAUGCGACGACGGUGAGGGGGUCGUGGUGGUCUGAGCCAUGGCGGUAGAGACGGCGACGGUGGUCAAGGUGGAGAAGCGGUACGCGAGCUAUAGCAAUGGAGGCAGCGACGGUACCAGGGAGGAGGAGAAGAGGUGCGCGAGGUACAGUAGUGGAGGCGGUGCCAGAGGUCGAGGAGGAGGGGCAGUGGCAAGCUUUCGGCGGGGUAUGUCGGGUGCUCGCUGGAAUCCCUAACCAGUGGAAGCGACUGAAGAACCACACCAUGCACGUGACUGUAUCAACGCCUCCAACCCCUACCAUGACUGCUCUCAGCGAUGUGUUAAGAAGAUUUCCGAUGCCAAAUCGGGUAUCACCCUGUCUCUUCAUUUGUAAUUUCGAAAACAAUCAGAGAUGUAACGCCUCCAAUCGUCUAUUUGGUUGACUUCCUAUUUGUGUCAGGGCGUUAAAUUAAUUCAUCUGUUGUUGGGUAGUUUAGGAUAUUUAGUUCCUAAUGUUUGAUGUGGUGGUGCCUACCAGAACGAAGCUAGGACCAGCUGGCGAUGGUUGCAGGGCACAAGAGGAUGAAGCCUCAUGGUGAAAGCAGAGACUUAUGUAAGGAAAAGUGAUUGGACUACAGGAAAAAAGAAGAUUGGGAGACUCUUGAUUCAGAUGGUCUUGAUAUGUCCAAAACUUACAUGAUUGUGGCAGAGGCAAAAUAGAAGAAGUGGGGGAAGGAACACACACCACAUGCGUGGGAUAGUGAGCUCAUCUCCUAACUUCAUUUAUUUCAUUUUAUCAGUGUGGUGAUGUCCUACAGCCAUAGUGAAAUAUCUCCAAAUCCAUACUCCUUAAAUUGGUAUGUAGCUGUUGUGUUAUCUUAUGCCCAGCUGGUUGUGCAUAUUUGAACAUAACUUCAACUUGGUAUGUUGAUGUACAUGAUAAUCACCCAACAUUUAUGUUCCAGCUCAUUUUUUUACUUAGAUUGACUUCGGGGUCAUCUCAGAGCUAUGUUUUGUUGAUCUUUGAGGCUGUGGAACUUUACAGUUAUUAACUGAUUGCAAACUUUAUCCAAUGACUUUGUCAACUCUCUUCUUUUACCCUCUGAAUUCUGAAAGAAGCUCUUCUCUUUUAUAUACAUAUUGGAAAGUUGUGCUGAAUUUUUCCUUUUUCUUAAUGUUGAAGUUGGCUUUACCAAGCAUGCAUGAGAAUUAAUUUUUUGUCUGAAUUCUCUUCAUGUAUCAUCACUAUUUAAAAUUGGCAGGAGGAUAAGAUGAUGGGGAUGGAGAUGCUUUCCCACGGAUUAUGAUGGCCGGUGAGAGGAGAUGGAUGGAUGGAUGGAGUAGCUAGGUGAGGCUAUCCCUGUUGAGAUAAGGAUUUAUUUGUUUGUGGAUUAGACCAUCUCUAUGUGCCAUGUCAUCUGCCGGUCACACUGCCGUGUGGGCCCAUGCAUGCACCAAGGUCCCCAAGGAUCUAUUUUACUACUACGAUAUAUGUGUUUCAUACUAUAUCUGUAUGUAUACACAGGAUUUGUUAGUUAUUAGGGCCCUGAUGUGCAGAUUUAUUUUCUUUUGGGGGUUGAGGGGUAGUGAUGUGCAGAUCUAGCUAGCUAUACGGCUGAAAUUGAUAAUUGUAGAAUGCAAUCAGUGAGCCUGUAUAAUAGGAGUAUAAUGUUAUCUUAAAGUUUUAGUACUUUGCAAGCCUGGAUCAUUGACUUCAUGUCAUGCCAAUCAACAUCUCGCAUACAUAUAGUCUACUCUGGUGUAGUAAUUAAUAGUAGAAUGUAGUAAUUGUCUAUGACUGACUUGAGUGUCCAUACGCGUCCCACCGGUGUGACAUUUUUUCAGUUGAAUUCAUGGAGGUUGGGAAAUGUCGGUACCAAAAAUAAGGCUGGUCACAAUAAAAGUAUUAUAGGUGGUAUCAUACACAUCACCUAGGCGUUUUUUGCUUAUGUAUCACGAAAUUAAAUGAGGAAACAGAGGAUUAUGUAUCACGAUAUGAUACAGUAUCAUAUAGCUCUAUAUAAUAUCGUGUUAGAAGGUUAGAGUUUUGCUUGUUUGUAAUAGUAUUAAAUAACAGAUACUGUGAGUGCUGAGUUACAUGAUUUACAUUGGGAAAAAUAAACUUCUGCAAGGGGAAGUUAGACACAAGAAAAACUGAAAUAGUUCUGAUGACGAACUAAAAACGCUGCCAAAUGAGAUGGAAGAGAAACACCAGGACAAGCAACAACUUCGCCGAGACAUACAUCCUUUGCCGGAUCGCACUCGGGCUGCCCUCCAGCAGGUCCACGAUGUAGAUGAACUCGUGAUCGGGCUGACAACAGUCACGAACAUGUCCUCUGCUCAGCCUCCCAUGCAGACAUGAUCUCAAGCCCCACAUCCAUGGCACGAGUCUUUAGGAUUGUCAUGCAUCAGAAAAUGACAUGAAGAAAAUAUGUGUGCAUGUGAGUUAAAUGAUUCAGAUCCAGUCUUUUUUUGCACCCCUCCAUAGUUCUCUUUGUGAAUUUUCAGUUUUAGCUUUGUUGCCACAUGGCUGCAAUCAACCGUGAUAGCAGAAGCUAUCUAGAUCCAUGCAUUUCAAUUGAAGAAUUGGUGCUUUGCAUUUCAGUUUUUGAACAUUGUUGUGAGUAUAUAUGCAUCCUACUUUACCUACCAGUUCAUGCUGCAUAGUGAUGUUUGCCUAGAAAUUCUGGCAAAUAAACCUUAAUGGCUUAUUUGAAUUUUAUAAUACUUAAUUUUUAAUACACAUCUGAACAAAUCUAUUGUGGUAUGACUUAUGAGGUUUCACAGGAUAACUCUAGCAAUCUGUGAAAAUUCAUGCAAAAUAAGAAGGUAUGUUUUCCACGAAACCCACAUCUAAAUGCGGACUGCAUGUUUAUUCCUUGUUGUAUGUACGUCUACCUACUGCUAAAAUCCUGAGCCAUUUGACUAGAUAUUACAAUUAUAUAUAGAUGCGUGUGCGUUGUCAUAUCUUGUUGAACACAUUACUAAGUAUGUGCAUGUGGGUUGCCAUAUCAAACACAUUGUUGUCACAUACGGUUGGUUAAGUGUUCUUUUUUUCACUCUUCAGUCCAGCACACUGUACGUGUGUUGUUCGUAGUUGUUCGUAAUAAUACAAAGAAGAUGAUCCAGCUGAUUGUAUAAUUAGUAAUUUAACUGGUGUAUGUAUGCUGCAUUUAGUGGCAUUAGUUAGGCACUCCAAUGCCCUAAAGAACGACACUUCAAUAUGAAUAGGUUUCAAAAUUAUACUUGAAUUCAGAAAUACACUUGGUGUUCAAGCUAAGUGGUUAAGAAACCCAUAGAUCACAUGCGAAAGAAGCUAGGUACAUAUAAUCUCCUUAUGGUUCUUACUCUACUGCAGGAUAUGUAAGUAUAAUAUGGUGCUUCACCUAAGCUAUUUAAGCUUAGGAUUUCUUGAAGAACAGUGCAACAUGUCAAGGAGUGAAGAGAAAGCAGUGAUCAACUGAGUAAACAUAACUGCUUGAAUGAAAGUUAUCACAUGAGAUCAAGCACCGGUAAUCAACAACCAGAAUGUUUUCAGGAAUGAUUUUUUCAGGAUUUCAUGUGCUUUCUACAGGCUUGUCUCUGGAAUUUAUAUAAUUCUUUUCUUGUUUCGAAGUGGUAGAUCGAUGUAUGUGUGCGGGAAGCGUUGCAGGUACAAGUCGGAUAAUGUCAAAGUGAAAAACACAUUUAGCCUUCUGUUUUAAAAAUAAUUAUGCAGAACCAAGUUUUCUUCUUAAUCAUGUUAUCCAAAGAUAUAUAUACAGAAUUUUGGACUCA